GACGAACGCUGGCGGCGUGCUUAACACAUGCCAGUCGAACGGAAAGGCCCUGAUUUUGUGGCGUGCUCGUGUGGCGAACGGGUGAGUAACACGUGUGUAACAUGCACUUAACUUUGGGAUAACUUCUGGAAACUCGGGCUAAUACCGGAUAGGAGCUCCUGCUGCGUGGUGUGGGUUGGAAAGUUACGGCGGUUGGGGCUGGACUCGAGGCUUCUCAGCUUGUUGGUGGGGUAGUGGCUUACCAAGGUUUUGACGGGUAGCCGGCAUAGGAGGGUGACCGGCCACAUGGGGACUGAGAUACGGACCAGACGCCAACGGGCGGCAGCAGUGGGGAAUAUUGCGGAAUGGGCGGAAGUCUGAGGCAGCAACGCCGCGUGCGUGAUGACGGCUUUCGGGGUGUAAACAGCUUUGGCCUGAGAUGAAGCGUGAGUGACGGUAACGGGUAAAGAAGCACCGGCUAACUACGUG
rnacentral:rRNA from 1 species